GAUUGGACGAUACAGACAUAUUUGGUUAGGGCAGCGCCUCCCAAACUCGGUCGUGGGACUUCAAAGAAGGGCCCUGUGAGGUCUCUGGCCAGGUCUGGCCAGUUGACACCUACCUGUGAGGUCUCUGGCCAGGUCUGGACGGUUGACACCUACCUGUGAGGUCUCUGGCCAGGUCUGGACAGUUGACACCUACCUGUGAGGUCUCUGGCCAGGUCUGGACGGUUGACACCUACCUGUGAGGUCUCUGGCCAGGUCUGGAUGGUUGACACCUACCUGUGAGGUCUCUGGCCAGGUCUGGACGGUUGACACCUACCUGUGAGGUCUCUGGCCAGGUUUGGACAGUUGACACCUACCUGUGAGGUCUCUGGCCAGGUUUGGACAGUUGACACCUACCUGUGAGGUCUCUGACCAGGUCUGGAUGGUUGACACCUACCUGUGAGGUCUCUGGCCAGGUCUGGACAGUUGACACCUACCUGUGAGGUCUCUGGCCAGGUCUGGAUGGUUGACACCUACCUGUGAGGUCUCUGGCCAGGUCUGGACAGUUGACACCUACCUGUGAG